CAGGUACCCUGCAGGGAAGCGGGGGGCCCCGAGCUGGACUCCACCCAACACUGCCACCUCCCCAGCCUGUGUCCUCCCUACCACCCGAGGAGCUGAAGGACCCAACAGCACACCCUCAGUGGUUUCUGAAAGGAAGCAAAGCUCUUUCUACCCUUUUUCACUUUGGGUGAAAACGUGGCUGGGUUGACAAGUCGGUUUUUUAGAAAGGAAGCACUGAUUAGCGAGGGACUCGCCCAGCCAGAAGAGGGCUCUGCAAAGACAGCCCCAUCCCCAGGAUGGGAAUGCUGGAUUCAGACACCACAAACCAAGAGAACCCAGACUCUGGACGUGGAGCAGUACCAGGGUGAAAGACUUUUCCCACCGACAUGGUCACAUAGCCAUUCUCCUUGAAGUACUGGGGGAUGGUGGAGAAGUUUCCAGCAUGCACCCUCCAGUAGGAGUUGAAGUCGUACAGGCGGGUGGUGUCAGGUCUCCUGCCAGUGAGGAAAGAAACGCGGCUCGGGGCGCACACUGCUUGCUGUUAGGGAGCAGAAGCAGAGGGGGGACAUCUGCUGCUUCCCAAAUGCUACAUUUCUUCAAAUAAAAAGCAGAAGACAGCAUGCAGUACAUAAGGAACUCAUGUCUUGGUAGAGACAAAAUUGAAAUUCUUUU
rnacentral:lncRNA from 1 species